UUAUGCAGGUUGAGAGUCGUUCUGAUGGUUCUACAACACUUUCUGGGUCGUUUGGUGGGUGCUUUGUCUCCUCCUAUCGCUUCUCCACGGAAAAAACAAAUAUUCAACUUUCUGGACCCGGUCCGGGUAAAUCCGGAUGUGACUCAGCGGAAGUGGUGGGUAAGCGUAGC